GCAAGCGUUGUCCGGAUUCAUUGGGCGUAAAGAGCUCGUAGGCGGCUUGGCAAGUCGGGUGUGAAAACUUCAGGCUCAACCUGGAGCGGCCACUCGAUACUGCCAUGGCUUGAGUCCGGUAGGGGACCACGGAAUUCCUGGUGUAGCGGUGAAAUGCGCAGAUAUCAGGAGGAACACCGGUGGCGAAGGCGGUGGUCUGGGCCGGAACUGACGCUGAGGAGCGAAAGCGUGGGGAGCGAACAGG
rnacentral:rRNA from 1 species